rnacentral:rRNA from 1 species
UACGUAGGGUGCCAGCGUUACCCGGAAUCACUGGGUUUAAAGGGUGCGCAGGCGGAUCUGUAAGUCAGAGGUUAAAGAUUCCCGCUUAACGGGAAAACAGCCUUUGAUACUGCGGGUCUUGAGAGCGGUUGAGGUACGCGGAAUGAAUGGUGUAGCGGUGAAAUGCGUAGAGAUCACUCAGAACACCGAUUGCGAAGGCAGCGUACUAAGCCGUUUCUGACGCUCAGGCACGAAAGCGUGGGGAGCAAACAGG